rnacentral:lncRNA from 1 species
UAAUACUAAAGUACAAAGCAAAAGCUGAAAAUAGAAACAGGUUUUGAUCACACUAGCUAGUUCAAGGGUUUGACUAAUAAAGACAGUAUCACCACCGUCGGAAUGAGGAAUUCUCCGGCAAUUUCCACGGCGGAAUCCGGCAACGGAGGUGGAAUUAGAUGGUUUUCCGGCAUGGUACGCGCCGGGAAGAAGGCAUACAUGGAUAAUCAGAAGCUGAGGGAGGUUGAGAAGGCUGAGAAAGUCAUGCAUCUUAUCUGUUGGGGACCCAAAUAGUUCAUUUCUUAAUUACUGACCUCAGUAAGUAGUGCUUAUGUUCGAAUCUUGAGAAUAAAGAAUGUUUUCAGAUGAAAGCGGUUUUCUCUUUAGUGAGUUUAUAUAUUAACAAUGAAAUCUGAGUUAAUCGAAUUAAUGACUUCAAUUAUCGAAUGGUUAAUUAAAAAAAAAUAUUGUGUUUAUAACUUUUUCCUUUUUCCCCCUUUUUGGGGUUUGUUUUGCCCUUUUUUCCUGUCUUAUUGUCAUCUCCUUUUUUUUUUUUUUUUUUUUCUUUAGUUUAGUAUUGCCUAUUGUUGGGACCUGUCUUAUUGUCAUCUCUUUUUUUUUUUUUUUUUUUGCUUUAGUUUAGUAUGGCCUAAUGUUGGGAAUUGGGAUCGAACUGGGUCGGUUGUUGUUACUUGUUAGUAUGGCCUAAUGGGAGUGUCGAAAUUAUUAGUAUGUAAUUUGCUCUCAAGGAGAGUUUGUAAUUAAUAUAUUAAAUGUUGUUAAAAAUAUGUUUUGGUGGGGAUGUUUCGUCUAAAUUUUCCAAAUUGAACCAAUAUGUGCUAUUAUCAGAAAUAAAAAAUGGAAAUCAAUCUAGCAUAUUAGUAGUAAAUUUAUAACUUCACUUUAGACGAUUUCGACUUGAUUUGAGUUAUUAGUUCUGUGGUUUUACAUCUUAAUUAGAUAGAAAACCUUCACCUAAAAAAACGUAAACAUAUAGUUAUGCCCGAACACCACCUCAUAGUAAACCUAAGAAAUAAUGAAUUCAGUUGAGAAAUUGAGAAGAAAAGAGGCAAGUAAAAAGGACACAAAUUUUAUGGGUCGAUAAGCAAAAGAGGUAAAGUUUGUGCACACUCUAUCCUUUCCAAACCUCACUGAUGGGGUUUUAUUAGGUUGUUGUUGUUGUUGAUAAUAUAUAUAUANNNNNNNNNNNNNNNNNNNNNNNNNNNNNNNNNNNNNNNNNNNNNNNNNNNNNNNNNNNNNNNNNNNNNNNNNNNNNNNNNNNNNNNNNNNNNNNNNNNNNNNNNNNNNNNNNNNNNNNNNNNNNNNNNNNNNNNNNNNNNNNNNNNNNNNNNNNNNNNNNNNNNNNNNNNNNNNNNNNNNNNNNNNNNNNNNNNNNNNNNNNNNNNNNNNNNNNNNNNNNAUAUAUAUAUAUAUAUAUAUAUAUAUAUAUAUACACUAAAAGGCCCUAUUUUAUUAGCUUAUAGACAAGCGAAUAGUUUGAUCUCAUGAUGAUGAAUAAGUUAGACAAACAUAAAAUGCUUAGCAUUGAUAUGGAGACAGAACAACAAAAAUCGUAAUAUCGAGAGCAUGACUUCAGAUGACAAUAAUCACGAUAUAAAUGAGAAAAAAGAUAAAAUUAUAUUUAGCUUUUAACAAAGUGCAGCAUAUGUUUGUAAGAAAAUUCGUGUCAUUUACAAUAAUACUAUUGCUCAUUAUUAUAGUUGCACCUAGAGAAAAAGGUCCUAGGAUCAAGCUGUGAAAAUUGAAGGAUCGAUGAGUAUAAGUUGAGCUGAAACUCAACUGCCAUUGCUGAAGGUCAUGGAGCUAAGAGAGGAAGCAGAACCUUCGAGAGAUUUUCAGAUAUGGGAAAAUAUUCUCAUUAAUUUGAAAACACUGACACUACUCGACUAUAUACAAGACACUACACUUGUACAACCGUCACUCUCCACUAUAACUGCCUAAACUACCACUAACAAAUAAUUUGACAGUAACUACCAUUAACAUCCUAACUAACUAGUUACAAUAAUAGCCAUAGCCACAGUUACAAAGGUGGCCACUAGUUAAAUAAUUAUAGAGCUUUGUGUCCGAAUCUUAACAACCCCUCAAGUUGGAAGGGAGGUACUCACUGCCAACUUGUGCAGUAGUGAAGAGUGUUUAAUCCCUGUCAACGACUUGCUGCGCAUGUCAUCCAGUUGGUCAUUUGUAUGAAUAUAGUGCAAAGGUAUCAGACCCUCCAUGAGUUUGUCUCUUACAAAAUGACAAUCGACCUCUAUAUAUUUAGUUCUCUCAUGAAACACUGGAUUUUUUGCCAUGUGCAAAGCUGCUUGAUUAUCACAGUAGAUUGGAAUAUGCAAGGUUAGAGGCAUUGUCAGUUCAUCUAAAAGUUUGGAUAACCAAACGAGUUCUGCAGCUACUUUUCUUGCUGACAUGUACUCUGCUUCAGCAGAACUUAAAGAUACAACUGACUGCUUCUUUGACUUCCAACUAAUUGGACUGUCCCCAAGCAACAAAAUGAUACCACUCUCAGGACAAGUAGCCCAAUCUGAGUCACAAAAUGCUCUCAACCUAUAAUCUGCAUUGUUUGACAAGAAAAUCCCCAUACUAGGAUCAUUUUUCAAAUAUCUGAGAACAUGUGUAGCAACCUUGAAAUGGGGGUCUCUGGGACUUUGCAUGUAUUGGCUGAGCCGUUGAACAUUAUAAGCAAUAUCAAGUCGAAUGUUAGUGAGGAAAUUCAACUUCCCAACCAACUUCCUAUAUUGAGUGGGGUCUGUGAGCAAAUUUCCUUCAAUUUCCUUUAGCUUUGUUGAAGGAUCAAGUGGAGAUGACAUUGGAGGACAAUGUGCACAUUUAAAUUCUUGUAUCAGGUCCUUUGUAAACUUCCUUUGCGUGAUUAAUACCACAUCAUGUUUGUAUAAUAUUUCUAAACCUAGAAAGUAGUGCAGUCUCCCCAGGUCCUUUAUCCCAAAUGUCUCAUGCAGAAAAGUUUUCAAUGCCUUAAUUUCUUCCAAAUUUUUCAUGUCAAAAGCACAUUAUUCGCAUAAAAUGCCACAAAAACCACCAAAUUGUCUAACUUCUUAUAGAAUAAGGAGUAAUAUAGCAUGGAAUGCAUUAUUCCCUGGAACAUAAGGCCUCAUCCAGUUCGGCAUAUUACUGCCUGCUUGGCUGCUUCAAUCCAUACAAUGACUUGUUUAGCUUGCAUACCAAAUUCUUGUUGUCUACUAACAGCCCUGGUGGUACUUGUAUAUAUACUUCUUCAUUCAGAUCUCCAUGUAAGAAAAUAUUAUUUACAUUAAAUUGAAAAAUAUCCCAGUUCUUCUUUAUUUCUAUGCUAAUAAAUGUUUUGACAGCAGUCAUCUUUACAACUGGUGAGAAUGUCUCAAUAUAGUCUAUUUCUGCCUGCUGAGUGUAAUCCUUGACAACUAGCCUAGCCUUAAAUCUUUUAACACUCUCAUAUGCCUUAUGCUAGAUUUUGUAUACCCAUUUGCUACCUAUUGCCCUCUUUCUUGUGGGGAUGGAACAAGAUCCCAGGUGUGGUUGGAGUAAAGUGCAUCAAAUUCCUGAUUCAUAGCCUGCUACCAGGUAGGUACGGUUGCUGCCUCUCCAUAUGAUUUAGGUUCACAAUCAGUAGAGAGAGUCUCAAGCAAAUACUGACUAUCAGUACUCAGUGCAUUGAGAGAAACAAGUUAUAAAUGGGGAACAUGUGUGUAAAAAGAGAAAGAAGGAGAACUAUGACUAUCAUCUACUACUUGUGUUUCACUAUUAGUGUUAAGAGUGGGUGCAUUGCAUAUGUAAUCUUUCAAGUAGCUAGGGAGUUUGUGGGUUCUUUGAGAUCUGUUAUGUGUUGUGGUCGCAGUUUUCUCAGGUUGUGCAGAAACUUGUGAAUCACUUUGAAAGGAUUGAUUUUGGUCUUGGGAGUGAAAGCAAGGUUCAGUAGAUGUGUUGGAGGUUCUAUUAGAAUUGAAGGAGCUUUAGUAAUAUGAUUGAGAUGGUGGUGCAGGUUCAUGAAUGUCAUUACUAGUAUCAUUGCCAAGUGGAAGUCCAAGUGACAUUAAUUGUUGAUGUGAAUCACUCUCUUUAGUACUAGGAGUACUAGGAAUAGAAUUAACACUGUCAACAUGACUCAUGCUAGGACCUAUAUAAGGGAAAGAAAGAGGUAGAUGCUCACAUUUGGAUGCCUCAGUCUACUUUCCUGGUAGAGUGAAGGGAAAGACUGAUUCAUAAAAAUUCACAUAUCUAGAAACAUGUAUUUUCCUUGUCGCUAAGCUGAGAACCUUGUAUACUUUUGACCCAAAAGGGUAUCCUACAAACAUGGGGUGAUGAUAUUGAUUCAAAAUUUUCUUUAUGUGGUUUCAGGUUUGUAGGGAAACAUAGACAGCCAAAACUCCUAAGGAGUAGUUUGGUCUCUUUUUAUAUAGGACUUCAAAAGGGAAUUUUCCACUGAGGGAUGUAGAUGGUAAUUUGUUGAUCAGGUAAGUGGAGGUUAGAAUGCAUUCUCCCCAAUACUUUAGGGGUAGUUUUGACUGAUAUAGUCGUGCUCUUGCAGUUUCUAGUAGAUAUUUAUGUUUUCUCUCCACUAUGGAUUUUGUUGUGGAAUGUAAGGGCAAGUUUUGUUGUGUAUAAUUCCUUUGCUUUGGAAAAACAAGGUUGUUUCAGUGUUCACAAAUUCUUAACCAUUAUCAGUUUUGAUGCUUUUUAUUAAAGUGUUGAACUAGUUUUGGACCAUUGCACAAAAAGCCUUUAUGACAUGCAAUGUAUCGCUCUUGCUGGUUAGUAGGUGUGUCCAAGUGCACCUGCUAUAGUCAUCAACUAAUGUGAUGAAGUACUUGUGUUAUCAUGAGUUGGUGCAUCAUAAGGGCCCCACAUAUCCACAUGCAGAAUUUCAAAAGUCUUGGUUGUAGAAGUUGUUUUCUCUGGGAAAGGGAGUCUAGUUUGUUUGGCCAUAGGGCAUAUGGAACACAGAAAAGGUUGUUUAUUUGGAAAAGUUAUUGGUAUAGAAUUGAUACCCUUCAUUUUGAUAAAAGGCACAUGGCCCAUCCUAUUAUGCCAUAAGAGAUCCACAGAUUUUCUAUUAGAGACAUAUGCAUUGCACACUGAAUCUGAACUUUUAUUUGAUUUCAGAAAAUUUAUACACUUUUAUUACCACGGUUAUGAGGAAGAAUGGAUGCACUAGGUGCUAAAUUACAAGGAGAAAUGGAAGUGUGUACAUUAUUGAUGCUAUGGCUACCUAAGGUGGUUGCACUAGCUGCAAAGUUGUGUGUGAGUAAUAUGGUGGAAAUCUUAUCUAAAGUAGAAGAAUUGCUCUUUUCUGGACUUGAAUGGUGAAGAUAGAGGUUUCCUUUAGCCUUACCAAUCUCCAGAGGCCUCCUCAGUAAAAGGACUUGUAGAAGAAUACAUGAGAAUUUAGUGAAUAUGAUUAUGCAAUCAAGAUGGACUGUCAAAGAGUGAAUAGAAAUCAUGUUGAACUUGAAACUAGGCACAUGUAGGACUCUUUUUAGAUUGAAGUGAGGACUGAGGAUGACAUCUCCAAUUACGGUCACCUUUACUUUGUAACCAUUUGGCAAAGAGACUAAGAAGGGGUAAACUAAGGUCUUGACAUUACUCAAUGAACUUUUGUUAUAGGUAAUAUGGUUAAUAGUCCCUGAGUCAAGUAUCUAUGAGUCAUCAUUUUCUUUGAAACUUUCAUAAGACUGUUUACUUGAUUCAACAAAAGAGUGACAAGCAGUCAUACCUGCAAAAUUGACAACUCCACCAGUCAUGCUUAUGUUUCCAGAAUUGUCUCCAUUCAUAAAAAGCCCCAAUAUGCUCAGUAGUUGUUCAUAUUUUUCUUUGUUUAAUUGCUGCAUAGUUCUGCCAUGCUCUUGGAGAUUUCCUCCUUCAUCUCGCAUGUUCACUUCAUCACUUGUUGUUUCAAACACAUUUGCCGCUAGUUUCUUUCCCCUGUUGCUGUUAUUGUACUUCCAAUUCUGAGGGUAUCCAUGUAGUUUAUAGCAAUUUUCUUUAGUGUGCCUUGACCUCUUGCAGAAAUCGCAGAAUGGCUUGGGUCUAUUGCCCAUGUAGCCUCUUCCGUCGCUGUUGUUUCCAGUGUGUUGGUUAUAGUUUGUCCUAAAGGUAUUGUUUCCUGGACCAUUGACAUUCUAUGAUAUGGACUCAAUUACUAAUUGUUGAUUUUGUGGUUUAACUUCCCUUUGUUUCUCCUCUUGUAUGAGAAUAGAGAAAGUUUGAGCAAUGCUUGAGUGAAGAUUUGUCAUCAGUAUGCUUCCUCUUACGAUAGUAUAAACCUAUUUAGACCCAUCAAAAACUGUAUUAGGCUCCUAUCCUGCUCAGCCUUGUGCAUGUUAGCUUUAGCUCCACAAGUGCACUGCCAGCUGCACUGUGCAUGUAUAUUCAAUGUGUUCAAUUAUUCUCAUAACUUCUUCAUCUUCGUGUAAUACCCCAUAACAUACGAGAUCGUUGCCUUCGGAUCCGACUUCCUAUUAUCUUCGGCUCCACGUGUCACUUUCUCAUGCGAUUAUUUACUAUAAACACAUUUUACCUUAUACAGAUGGUCCCUCUGCUUUCUGAUGGAAUAACUUUGUUUCAACGAGAAGUUGGUAGAAAUACCUUUUUGGUGGAAAAUUCUCUGAACCCCUCUGAAAAGUUUCUGACGGCUGAUUAGACCCAUGUAUCUUUCCAUUUAUUGCCCCAAACACGCAUCAUCCCACGAUUCAGCACCAUUUUUGUCGGUUAUCGAGGUAAUUAUGGCCACGAUUUUAUUCGCCUAUUCCUUUACUUAUACGCAUCAAACUUCUUCAUUUACACUUCAUAACCUUCCAAACUCUCUCGAAUUCUCUUUGCUUAGCUCAUACUUGUCCUCAACUUUCCUAAAUCUUCUUUUUUUAGUGAAGACCCUUUCCUCUUUUGUGAUAGCAAUGGCCUCUUCUUCCAAAAAUCCUAUUUCUUCAAAGAACAAUGGUAAAGUCGAUGAUAUUGCUCCUCUUACGGUUAACACCACCAUCCCAAAGAGUCUUAUCACAACGAAGGACUUUGAACAAAAGUUUCCUAGCGUUAAUUCACGCAUGUGGGUUGUUGGCGUGUAUUCUUCUUCUAUCCGUCCUUCCAGCAUCCAUGUUUUGAAGGGAGACUGACAUUGUGCUGAUUUAAACAUCAUCACUCAUGACCUGCCAGAUUUAAUAAUCUUACCCAAGAAGGGUUUUACUUAUUUUAUAUGUAUCCCUUCACUUUGGGGCCACUCUUUUUGAACUGGGAGCUUGACUUUGUUAUCACAGAGCUCUGCAUUCGUUACCAGGUAUGCCUGGCACAGGUAAGUCCUUCUGUGUGGAGGACAGUUUCUUGUCUUAGGUGUCUAUGCCAGGAGACAUGAGAAUAGCUAAUUUUUGCUCUAUUAAUGAACCUUUAUUCUCCUAAGAUUUUCGCGGGGGAAUGAUAAAUUUCAGCUAGUGUGGCCACCAUGCUCUGCUAUCCAGCCAGGAUAGUGAUAACGACCGUGGGUGGAAGGAACGGUUCAUUGCAGUUUCCACCAGCGAAAUCAUUCCGGCCACGACUUCAUCUUUUUCAGAAUUAUGGAACCUCACUCGUAAGUUCAUCAUUUGUCUUUUCUUUCAUUAAAGAUCGUCCCGUAUUGUUAUUGGCCCUUCUUCUUUCGCUUAUUUCAGCAACUCGGUGGGUACCACCUAAGGUUGAAGUCUUGGACCAAUGGGUCCAAAACAAUUUGGACAUUACUAUGCUCGAGACCCGCCCGUGGAAAAAAUUUGACCUUAAAUAUGCGUGGGAGGCCAAGAAUCAUGGUAAGUUGAACUCAUCUUGUUUUUACUGUAACGACAUGGCCAAUUGUUUUGAGUAUUUUAGCCACUAUCCCCUAUAUUAUGCUUCCUCUAUGCUAUACUGUGGUUAUGUAACUUGCCGGGGUGGUUGGUUUUGGUUUUGGCUGAGUUUAGGAAUGAAAUGGGAUACAUAGUCCCUAAGUUGGAAGGUUAAGUCGUAGGAGUUGACCGUAGAUUGACUUGUAUGAAGACACCAGAAUGGAGUUUUGACGGUUCCAAUAGCCCAUAUGGUGAUUUUGGUCGUAGAAGCAUGUCCGAAGGAUAAUUUAGAGGUCUAUAGGUCAUUUUGGCGUGAUUCGGCGAAAGUUGAAAAGUUGGAGGAUUUUGGAAAGUUUGACCAUGAGUUGACUUUAUUGAUAUUGGGGUUAAAAUCUAAUUUCGAAAGUUGAAAUAUGUCAACAAUAUCAUUAUUACUUUUGUGAAAAAUUUAAAGUCAAUCGGAGUUUUUGGUAUGAUUCGGUAUCAGUUUUAGAAUUCGUAUGUUCAUAAUUUCUUAGGCUUGAAUUUGGGUUGCAAUUCGUAGAAUUUAUAUUAUUGGAUGUGAUUUUUUGUCCUCGAGUAGGUUCGUUAUUUGUUUUGAAACUAUUUGGUAUAUUUGUGGAGGGUCCCGGGGGCUCCGAGUGUUAUUCUGAUCGAAUCCGGAACAAUUUGGACUUAUUGAAUUUUGCUGAAGGUUGGCAGCUUCAGGUGUCUUUGCACUUGUGGAGGGAUUAGCCGCAGAUUGGGGCUCGCAAAAAUAAGCACUUGGUCACAAAAGCAGAGCUAGACAUAUCCGGAUGGGGUGCAUGAGCGGGAAAUGUUCCACAUAAGCGGCUUCGCUUCUGCAUUGGAAGGGAACAUAGGAGCAAUAAUGGUCACAGGUGGGACGCUUGUGCUGCAGGUGCGCAUGCGCAGAUGCCAACCUUUUUCCGCAAAUGCGGUUAUCUUGGACUUAAGUGAAGUCCACACCUGCGAUGGUUUUUUCGCAGGUGCGACCCUAGGUGCGUAGCCGCAAAUGCGGCACAAAAGUCGUAGGUGCGAUUUAACUGGCGGAAAAAGGGGAAAUUUGAGGGUUAGUUUUCAUAAUUUAUUUUCGGAUUUUGGAAGCUCGGUGGGAGAUAAAAUUUCGAGGAAUUUUCAGAGAGAACAUUGGGGUAAGAAGAAGCCUUAACUCAAUUUUGGUUAAAUUACUCGAGCAUAUCAUUGUUUUGUCAUGUAACUAGGUUGGAGUUGGAAAAGUUGGGGAAAAGUGGUAGUAACUUCUUAGACAAAGUUUUUGAGUUUUGAAAGGCGAAUUGAGGUCAGAUUUGAACAAGUCUUGUAUAAUUGGACUCGAUAUUGGAUUUUAUAAUUUUUGUUGGAUUUCGAGAUGCGGACAGAGCUGACUUUUUGGGUCAAUUUUUCAAUUUUUUGCAAAGAUUGUAAUUUCAUUGUUUGAAUUUGUUUCCUAUAGUUAUAAUUUUAGUAUGAAAUUUGGCUAGAUUCAAGCCGUUUGGAGUUGGAAAAUCGAGGGAAAGAUCUUCUAGUGGAUUGACUUAGCAUGGUUUGAGGUAAGUAGUUUGCCUAAGUUUGUGCCGGGGAACUUCCCCUCAGGAUUGGUGUUACUUGUGAUAAUUGUGAUGUGUAAGAGCCGUGUAUGCAAGGUGAUGAGUGUGUAUACAGGCUAAAUAUGAAAAUUAUCGAUUUUUGGCUAUGUAAAUUCCUUUCAUGUCAUAGUUGAGUUACUUUAACAUGUUAUAGUCUUUAUUUUUAGACUAAUUCUAUUUGUCUUCUUCUCUUAUCCCUUACUUGCUAAUUGCUCUAUAUGUUUAGUCGAAAUUCUUGUUUCUUUUUAUUUUUUAUUCAUUAUUAACUAUGGAAUUCUUUAUUAAAAUUACUAUUUCUUGGAAUAUCUUGUUGUUGAAAUUAAUAUUGAGUUACAAGGGUCGUAAUUCUACUGAGGCAAAGUGUUAAGUUGUUAAACAUCAUGCUAUUGAGUUAUUACUCAGGUUGUUAAUUAUUGAGACUUUGUGUAUAUUGUGUUUGAGUCGUGGGCUCCUUGUUGUGAAAUUAUAUUAUUGUUUGGUUUCUCUGGCACAUUGUGAUAUUGGGCAUUUGAGGUGUGAUUUUUGAUAAGUUAUGAUAUUGAUAAGCAUGCAGUGGUAUAUGGUCUGGGUGUUGAAACACAUGCGGUGAGAUAAGGUGGUCUUGAUACACAUGGUUAGUAGGGAACUACUAGAAUCUAUGCGGUAUGAUAAGGUGGGCUAAAAUGCGGGAUGCUAUUUUGGGAAAAAUAAUUUGCAAAGCUAAGCGUAAAGGCUCCCUCAGUGAUAUAUGUAAGGAUUUUGAUUUAUUUUGUGAUUUGAGACUACGAGGCGGUACCUCAAUAGUGAUUCUUGUUGACAUUUCCCCAUUUUAUUAUCUGGAUCGUUGUUUCCUUAUCAUAUUAUUAAACGUCUUGCUCUGUGCUGCACUAUUUGCUUAGUUCCGUGUAGCUAAUCUUGUUAUGCUACUCGUUUGUUUAAUUUUCAUUACUAUCUUAUUAUACUAUAUAUAUUGUUCAGUCGUUUAUUUAUUUGCAGUAGGGCCUGACUUGAUCUCAUCACUUCUCUGCCAAGGUUAGUUUUGGCACUUACGGGGCAUCGUUAUGGCGUACUCAUGUUUCUCUUCUAUGCAUAUUUUUAUGCAGAUCCAGGUGCUUCUUACAAGCCCAGGAGUUAGUUGGGAUUCUACUGCGAAGACUUCAAGGUAUACUUACCGGUGUCCGCAGACCUUGGAGUUCCCCUCUCUAGAUCUCUUAUUUCGUCAUCCUUAUUAUAUAGUCAUGAUUUAUAUGAUUAUACAAUACUCAUACUUAGAGAUUGUGACUUGUAUUUUCACUAGGCCUCGG